rnacentral:rRNA from 1 species
AUUGAACGCUGGCGGCAGGCUUAACACAUGCAAGUCGAGCGGAGAUGAGGUGCUUGCACCUUAUCUUAGCGGCGGACGGGUGAGUAAUGCUUAGGAAUCUGCCUAUUAGUGGGGGACAACAUUCCGAAAGGAAUGCUAAUACCGCAUACGCCCUACGGGGGAAAGCAGGGGAUCUUCGGACCUUGCGCUAAUAGAUGAGCCUAAGUCAGAUUAGCUAGUUGGUGGGGUAAAGGCCUACCAAGGCAACGAUCUGUAGCUGGUCUGAGAGGAUGAUCAGCCACCCUGGGACUGAGACACGGCCCAGACUCCUACGGGAGGCAGCAGUGGGGAAUUUUGGACAAUGGGGGCAACCCUGAUCCAGCCAUUCCGCGUGUGUGAAGAAGGCCUUUUGGUUGUAAAGCACUUUAAGCGAGGAGGAGGCUACUUGGAUUAAUACUCUAGGAUAGUGGACGUUACUCGCAGAAUAAGCACCGGCUAACUCUGUGCCAGCAGCCGCCGUAAAAC